rnacentral:rRNA from 1 species
UAAUACCGCAUAACGUCGCAAGACCAAAGAGGGGGACCUUAGGGCCUCUUGCCAUCGGAUGUGCCCAGAUGGGAUUAGCUAGUAGGUGGGGUAAAGGCUCACCUAGGCGACGAUCCCUAGCUGGUCUGAGAGGAUGACCAGCCACACUGGAACUGAGACACGGUCCAGACUCCUACGGGAGGCAGCAGUGGGGAAUAUUGCACAAUGGGCGCAAGCCUGAUGCAGCCAUGCCGCGUGUAUGAAGAAGGCCUUCGGGUUGUAAAGUACUUUCAGCGGGGAGGAAGGGAGUAAAGUUAAUACCUUUGCUCAUUGACGUUACCCGCAGAAGAAGCACCGGCUAACUCCGUGCCAGCAGCCGCGGUAAUACGGAGGGUGCAAGCGUUAAUCGGAAUUACUGGGCGUAAAGCGCACGCAGGCGGUUUGUU